ACUCCUACGGGAGGCAGCAGUGAGGAAUAUUGGUCAAUGGGCGAGAGCCUGAACCAGCCAAGUAGCGUGCAGGAUGACGGCCCUAUGGGUUGUAAACUGCUUUUGUAUGGGGAUAAAGUCAAUCACGUGUGAUUGUUUGCAGGUACCAUACGAAUAAGGACCGGCUAAUUCCGUGCCAGCAGCCGCGGUAAUACGGAAGGUCCAGGCGUUAUCCGGAUUUAUUGGGUUUAAAGGGAGCGUAGGCUGGAGAUUAAGUGUGUUGUGAAAUGUAGACGCUCAACGUCUGACUUGCAGCGCAUACUGGUUUCCUUGAGUACGCACAACGUUGGCGGAAUUCGUCGUGUAGCGGUGAAAUGCUUAGAUAUGACGAAGAACUCCGAUUGCGAAGGCAGCUGACGGGAGCGCAACUGACGCUUAAGCUCGAAGGUGCGGGUAUCGAACAGGAUUAGAUACCCUGGUAGUCCGCACAGUAAACGAUGGAUGCCCGCUGUUGGUACCUGGUAUCAGCGGCUAAGCGAAAGCAUUAAGCAUCCCACCUGGGGAGUACGCCGGCAACGGUGAAACUCAAAGGAAUUGACGGGGGCCCGCACAAGCGGAGGAACAUGUGGUUUAAUUCGAUGAUACGCGAGGAACCUUACCCGGGCUUGAAUUGCAGAGGAAGGAUUUAGAGAUAAUGACGCCCUUCGGGGUCUCUGUGAAGGUGCUGCAUGGUUGUCGUCAGCUCGUGCCGUGAGGUGUCGGCUUAAGUGCCAUAACGAGCGCAACCCCUGUCUUCAGUUGCCAUCAGGUGAUGCUGGGCACUCUGGAGAUACUGCCACCGUAAGGUGUGAGGAAGGUGGGGAUGACGUCAAAUCAGCACGGCCCUUACGUCCGGGGCUACACACGUGUUACAAUGGGGGGUACAGAAGGCCGCUACCCGGCGACGGGAUGCUAAUCUUUAAAACCUCUCUCAGUUCGGAUCGGAGUCUGCAACCCGACUCCGUGAAGCUGGAUUCGCUAGUAAUCGCGCAUCAGCCAUGGCGCGGUGAAUACGUUCCCGGGCCUUGUACACACCGCCCGUCAAGCCAUGG
rnacentral:rRNA from 1 species